AACACUAACUAACAGCUAAACUACUAAGGUAACUCAGAACACUAACUAACAGCUAAACUACUAAGGUAACUCAGGACACUAACUAACAGCUAACUACUAAGGUAACUCAGGACACUAACUAACAGCUAAACUACUAAGGUAACUCAGGACACUAACUAACAGCUAAACUACUAAGGUAACUCAGGACACUAACUAACAGCUAAAGUACUAAGGUAACUCAGAACACUAACUAACAACUAAACUACUAAGGUAACUCAGGACACUAACUAACAACUAAACUACUAAGGUAACUCAGAACACUAACUAACAGCUAAACUACUAAGGUAACUCAGAACACUAACUAACAGCUAAACUACUAAGGUAACUCAGAACACUAACUAACAGCUAAACUACUAAGGUAACUCAGAACACUAACUAACAACUAAACUACUAAGGUAACUCAGAACACUAACUAACAACUAAACUACUAAGGUAACUCAGAACACUAACUAACAACUAAACUACUAAGGUAACUCAGAACACUAACUAACAGCUAAACUACUAAGGUAACUCAGAACACUAACUAACAGCUAAACUACUAAGGUAACUCAGGACACUAACUAACAACUAAACUACUAAGGUAACUCAGAACACUAACUAACAACUAAACUACUAAGGUAACUCAGAACACUAACUAACAACUAAACUACUAAGGUAACUCAGAACACUAACUAACAACUAAACUACUAAGGUAACUCAGAACACUAACUAACAGCUAAACUACUAAGGUAACUCAGAACACUAACUAACAACUAAACUACUAAGGUAACUCAGAACACUAACUAACAGCUAAACUACUAAGGUAACUCAGGACACUAACUAACAACUAAACUACUAAGGUAACUCAGAACACUAACUAACAACUAAACUACUAAGGUAACUCAGGACACUAACUAACAGCUAAACUACUAAGGUAACUCAGAACACUAACUAACAACUAAACUACUAAGGUAACUCAGGACACUAACUAACAGCUAAACUACUAAGGUAACUCAGAACACUAACUAACAACUAAACUACUAAGGUAACUCAGGACACUAACUAACAGCUUUGUUGGACAUAAUGAUCAAACUAACGGCACAAAACCAAACCGCUGCACGAACUAGCGUGAGGCUACUGAACUCCUACAGCACGGUGUGAACCCCAAUCUCUGCCGGGACUCUCUCUCCUUACCUAAUUACGUUCAUAUUCUCUGAGGAUAUCCUCUGUCUCGUCAUUACGUUGACCGUGUCUCCGUUCUGAAUAUUUCACUUGUCGUCCCGGCUAAUAAGAUGCCAAUGUUUGUUUGUUCGUUUGUGUUUUUAUGAAUAUUCGACACAAUGUCAUUUUAAAUGCCCUCUGUCCAUUAUAAUUUCACAAAACAAUGAAUGAAACUCAUAUCGAUCCCUCAUUUCCUCCACAGCUAAAGUCUGGAGUGAUGAAUACCGUGGACAUUCCCAAGACAACGUCAACGCCCCUGGACGAGUCUCCAUUGCCGACUGUGAUGAAGUCUGUCUUUACUGACCAGCUGCUCUUUCUGACUCAUUUAUACUCCACCAUGCUGAAUGCUUUUUUACCAUGUUAGUUUGUCUUAGAUGUGAGUCAUAUUUUUCAUAUUGUGCAAAUUUUUUUUUUUAAAUAAAAAUGGAAAAAAACAAAGAGUUA